CGGGGGGUGAGCCAUGGCGUCAGGUCAGCUAAGAGCUUCCCACCUCGUUUCCUCUUCGGCGAUGUGGUCGCUUUAUCGACCUCUGUUUUAGACGACGCGGUCCGCACUGCAGUCCUGUGGGCGCAGCCAAUCGUAGCGAAGAACAGUGCGGUGUGCGGAUGACGUCAGCUCAGGGCUCUGUCAUCAUUGUCAUCAUCCACAUUCUUUUUGAACUGGGCCUCGAUUUCAGCAGGAUCCAUGUAGGUGUAGAAGUACGCCAUGAUGGAGAAGAAGAAACAGACGGCGAUCAGCAGUGAGGCGAAGAGGACGUACUCUGCCCACUUUAAACAAGGAGGAAUAACGAAUCAUUAUCUCACCACACGACUGCAACUUUUGGGUGUUGGUGUUAUUUCUGCAAUUGUUAUUGUUGAUUGUAUUCUAAUUGCCCCACGGGGAUAAACAAAGUUUUCUGAAUCUGAA